GAUGAAGAACGCAGCGAAAUGCGAUAAGUAAUGCGAAUUGCAGAAUUUCCGUGAGUCAUCGAAUCUUUGAACGCACAUUGCGCCCCUUGGUAUUCCAUGGGGCAUGCCUGUUCGAGCGUCAUUUGUACCUUCAAGCUUUGCUUGGUGUUGGGUGUUUGUCUCGCCUUUGCGUGUAGACUCGCCUUAAAAUAAUUGGCAGCCGGCGUAUUGAUUUCGGGGCGCAGUACAUCUCGCGCUUUGCACUCAUAACGACAGCGUCCAAAAGUACAUUUUACACUCUUGACCUCGGAUCAGGUAGGGAUACCCGCUGAACUUAAGCAUAUCAAUAAGCGGAGGA
rnacentral:misc_RNA from 1 species